AGAUACCCUGGUAGUCACGCCGUAACGAUGAGUGCUAAGUGUUGGAGGGUUUCCGCCCUUCAGUGCUGCAGCAAACGCAUUAAGCACUCCGCCUGGGGAGUACGACCGCAAGGUUGAAACUCAAAGGAAUUGACGGGGGCCCGCACAAGCGGUGGAGCAUGUGGUUUAAUUCGAAGCAACGCGAAGAACCUUACCAGGUCUUGACAUCCUUUGACCACUCUAGAGAUAGAGCUUUCCCUUCGGGGACAAAGUGACAGGU
rnacentral:rRNA from 1 species